rnacentral:rRNA from 1 species
GGAGCCGUAGCGAAAGCGAGUUUUAACUGAGCGUUCAGUUACUUGACGUAGACCCGAAACCGGGCGACCUACCCAUGAGCAGGAUGAAGCGAAAGUAAAAUUGCGUGGAGGUCCGAACCCACGAGCGUUGAAAAGCUCGGGGAUGACUUGUGGGUAGCGGUGAAAUUCCAAUCGAGCCCGGAGAUAGCUGGUUCUCCCCGAAAUAGCUUUAGGGCUAGCCUCAAGGUGAGAGAUACGGAGGUAGAGCACUGAAUGUCCUAGGGGGUAUUGCACCU